GACGAACCGUGCGAACGUUGUUCGGAAUCACUGGGCUUAAAGGGCGCGUAGGCGGUUUGCCAAGUCAGGGGUGAAAUCCUGCAGCUCAACUGUAGAAGUGCCUUUGAUACUGGCGAACUCGAGGGAGGUAGGGGUGCGUGGAACUUCUGGUGGAGCGGUGAAAUGCGUUGAUAUCCGAAGGAACACCGGUGGCGAAAGCGGCGCGCUGGAUCUCUUCUGACGCUGAGGCGCGAAAGCCAGGGGAGCAAACGGG
rnacentral:rRNA from 1 species